rnacentral:rRNA from 1 species
GAUGAACGCUGGCGGCGUGCCUAAUACAUGCAAGUCGAGCGAACGGACGAGAAGCUUGCUUUUCUGAUGUUAGCGGCGGACGGGUGAGUAACACGUGGAUAACCUACCUAUAAGACUGGGAUAACUUCGGGAAACCGGAGCUAAUACCGGAUAAUAUUUUGAACCGCAUGGUUCAAAAGUGAAAGACGGUCUUGCUGUCACUUAUAGAUGGAUCCGCGCUGCAUUAGCUAGUUGGUAAGGUAACGGCUUACCAAGGCAACGAUGCAUAGCCGACCUGAGAGGGUGAUCGGCCACACUGGAACUGAGACACGGUCCAGACUCCUACGGGAGGCAGCAGUAGGGAAUCUUCCGCAAUGGGCGAAAGCCUGACGGAGCAACUCCGCGUGAGUGAUGAAGGUCUUCGGAUCGUAAAACUCUGUUAUUAGGGAAGAACAUAUGUGUAAGUAACUGUGCACAUCUUGACUGUACCUAAUCAGAAAGCCACGGCUAACUACGUG